rnacentral:rRNA from 1 species
CUUAAAACCCAAAGGACUUGACGGUGUCCCAUUCCCCCUAGAGGAGCCUGUUCUAUAAUCGAUGAUCCCCGCUUUACCCUUCCACUUCUUGCUUAUUCAGCCUGUAUACCUCCGUCGUAAGCUUGCCCUGUGAACGCUUAUUUAGCAAGCCCAAGGAUCUUAUCACCAACACGUCAGGUCAAGGUGCAGCCUAUGAAGUGGAAAGCAAUGGGCUACAAUUUCUAAAUUAGAACAAACGAAAAACUGCAUGAAAUACAGUUAUGAAGGUGGAUUUAGUAGUAAAAAAGAAAUAGCGAGUCUUUUUUAAUCCGGCCCUGGGACGUGUACACACCGCC